CAUGACACGCCAAAAAUGCACUAUUUUCUCCCUCGUGCUUUCCAUUGGCUCCAUCAUCCUGUACAGUAUGGUGUAUGGGGACCAAGUUACGAGGUCACGAAUUGAGAUCAAGCUUGACACUUCCAAAGAAGUCACAGAAAAAUACCCGAAAGAGAACACACAGACGUUGGAAAGCUGGCAGAAAGAACUGUGCAAAGCCAAUGUCAAUGAUGUACCUGAGGAAUCGGAGACACUGACCCUGCCGAUGCUUGCCAGGGACAUCACGCCCAAUGCAAGCGAUUAUAACGUGUACCUCGCGGAGACAAGCUGUAACCCUCGCCCACUGUACAGAGCGUGGUGUUCCGUGGAGAGUUUCGCCAACCAGAACCCAACAGCGAAGAUCUGGUACGUGGUCACCGCUCCGCACGUAGACGACACAGACAGGCUCGUCACGUUACUCAAGAAGAAGUACAAAAAUUUAGAUGUCGUUGGCGCCGAUCUCAACACGAUGUUCACCGGGACCCCCCUUGAGAAAUUAUUUAAGUCGGGGACCUGGGCCCACAACACGCCUUGGCCGGCGAACAACCUCUCCAACCUGCUGCGGAACAUCCUGCUGUGGCUGUGGGGCGGGAUGAACGCCGACACCGACUGCAUCUGCGUCAGGAAGGUCACGCAGCUGUACAACGCGAUCGCUUACGACGAAAAGGACAAGGUCGCCAACAACGCCAUCAUGCACUUCGAAGCCCGCCAUCGGUUCAUUCUCGAAACCAUGGAGUACCUGAAACAACAUUUCCAGGCGAGUUCAUGGAUUAUAUGGCCUAAGGAAUUUUUUCCGCGGGGACAUGUAUUGCCAGGAAAUGUAUGUAACACUAGAAAUAGCAGCGCUCCCUCCUCUGAUCCUUCCAGGUGGCCAAGUGGCACGUCAACGGGCCAGGGGCGGCAUCGCUCAUCGCCAAGAAGGUCUGCGGAACCAAAAACCUGAAUCAGAUCCUUCACGAGGAAUGCGACAGCGUGAAGUUGAUGCCGUUGAGGAAUAUGCAACUCUAUACCUGGACACAGUGGGGGAAUUUCUUUAAGGAGGGAAAAGGAAGCAAAUUCCUAGGGGAACACAAAGACGCCUACAUCUUGCACAUGUAUAACAAACUCAGCAAGAAAAGUGCGGUUAAAAUAGGCUCCGGAACCAUCUAUGACAGCGUUGCCAGCGUCGUCUGCCCAAACACGUACGAGGCUGCCAGACGGAGAGCGAUCUUUUUCUAGUUCGAGUGGAUGUUUUUGGAUUGGAAGUUUAUGGUCUGGAUGUUUUUUUUUUCUUACUAGAUGUUUUUAUUUGACUGGAUGUUUAUGGUCUGAUGUUUUUGAACAGAAUUAUUUGGUCUGAUUUUUUUUUGGACUGGGUGUUUUUUGUCUAAUCUUUUAGGACUGGAUUUUUUUUGGACUAUUUUUUUUUUUGGUCUGAAUAUUUUAGGAUUGGUUGUUUUUGGUCUGAUUCUUUGGUCUAGAUGUGUUCGGUCUGAUGUUUUUAUAGUGUUCAUAUUUUAGGUCUGAUAUAUUUUGUUCUGGAUGUUUUAAGUCUAGGUGUUUUUGGUCUGGAUGUUUUAAUACUGGACGUUUUUUGGUCUGAAUGUGUUUGGUCUGGAUAUUUUUGGUCUGAUGCUUUUUUUUCUUUUUCUUUUUUUUGGUCUGAUCAUUUUUUAUCUGUUUUUUGUUUUUUUGGACUAGACGAUUUUGGCCUCAUUAUUUUCUAAUUAUUUUUUUGUAUGGACGUUUUUGUCUGAUUUUUUUGUAUGAACGUUUAUGGUCUGAUUCUUAUUUUUAUUUUAUUUAUUUAUUUAUUAUUAUUCAUUUUGUCUCGACGUCCUUGGUCUGAUUUUUUUUGUCUCAAUGUUUUUGGUUUCAUUAUUUGUCUGCAGUUUAAGUCUAGUUUCCAGAGACAAAUAUUUGUGUAUCCUUUCAUAGUAACUGGUAGUUAAAUAGCACUGUGUAGAUAAAAAAAAAAGUAAAAGAAAAGAAAAAGAAAAAGAAAAAAAUAUCAUAUCCUAGAAAUAUUUCCAGUACAGGUAAAUAAACAUGAAGAACAUAUGCAUUGAAAUAAAGUAUUCGAAAGUUCCCAAGCUUUCUAAGGCCGUUACCCACUUUUCAUAUAUAUGUAUUUAAAUAUAUAUAUAUAAAUAAGUAAAUAUAUAUAUAAAUACAUAUAUAUAUACAUAUACAUAUACAUACACACACACACACACACACACAC
rnacentral:misc_RNA from 1 species